rnacentral:rRNA from 1 species
GAUGAACGCUGGCGGCGUGCCCAAUACAUGCAAGUCGAGCGAACGGACGAGAAGCUUGCUUCUCUGAUGUUAGCGGCGGACGGGUGAGUAACACGAGGAUAACCUACCUAUAAGACUGGGAUAACUUCGGGAAACCGUAGCUAAUACCGGAUAAUAUUUUGAACCGCAUGGUUCAAAAGUGAAAGACGGUCUUGCUGUCACUUAUAGAUGGAUCCGCGCUGCAUUAGCUAGUUGGUAAGGUAACGGCUUACCAAGGCAACGAUGCAUAGCCGACCUGAGAGGGUGAUCGGCCACACGGGAACUGAGACACGGUCCAGACUCCUAAGGGAGGCAGCAGUAGGGAAUCUUCCGCAAUGGGCGAAAGCCUGACGGAGCAACGCCGCGUGAGUGAUGAAGGUCUUCGGAUCGUAAAACUCUGUUAUUAGGGAAGAACAUAUGUGUAAGUAACUGUGCACAUCUUGACGGUACCUAAUCAGAAAGCCACGGCUAACUACGUG